rnacentral:lncRNA from 1 species
CCGACUUGUUCCCAAAUAUUUACAAAUCCAAAAUCAUGGUGAAGCAUUCUUAAGUGGAUUCUUAACAGCCAGCCCUGCGGACAGAAGACAGAUAAAACUUCAAGCUGACACACAUUACCAAAAUCCCAGGAGCUGGGCGAGCAGCUUGCUUUCUUCCCCCACAAAACUGGACAAAGCCAGAGACCCCUUGUUACUUGGAGCCUCCCUGUACGUCAUAAAACCAUCCUGUAAUACAAAGUUCCACAGUUCUCAAUCCAAGGCACUUUCUGUUUCAGGGCUAACAACAGUAACCGCUUAUGCUUUGAGAGCAUCUCAGGACUUUCAGUCUGAGGAAGUUCUCGGGUACGUCCAGGCUUCUCAGGCCUCCCUCGCUCCGCCUGCCCGUCGGCGAAGGUGGGGACACCACGCCAUCCCCCGCAGCCGUGGAGGGGCCCCGCAGGAGCGCCAGGCUUCAAAGGAACUCUCUUCGUGACAUGAAAACGCUGCUGCCCAUAAAAACAAUUAGCCUGCAUGGGACUGAAAUUCCUGAUUUUUCAGACAAACCUAUUUCCCCACCCUCCCACCAGAGAGCACUUGAGAUCUGCACCAAGCCUGGGUCCUUCCACCUGGGGCCUGCAUAGCUCCAAGCUACCAACGCUGCCACUCCUCAACUUCAGGCCAAUUCUGCAAACUCUCCCAAGCCUCAAAUAAACUCUCUUUUUUUAAAAAACUUAAUUCAGAUCUAGCCAAAGAGCAAGGAAAUUAUUCAUAUUUUUUUUAAAAGAGGUUAGGGAUUACUAUUCCUGACACCCAACCAUUUAUUAUAGUUAAUUAAUUAACCAAUUCUCCAGCUUUUUAUGUUCUUCCUCUUUUUUUCAAGCACAAAAUAAUAGAGAUGACAGAUUCCCCCGAGCCGUACCUGUCUGUCCAUGGCCGGAGAGUGGUAUGAG